rnacentral:rRNA from 1 species
GGCAGCAGUAGGGAAUCUUCCGCAAUGGACGAAAGUCUGACGGAGCAAUGCCGCGUGAGUGAAGAAGGUUUUCGGAUCGUAAAGCUCUGUUGUCAGGGAAGAACAAGGAUCGGAGUAACUGCCGGUCCCUUGACGGUACCUGACCAGAAAGCCACGGCUAACUACGUGCCAGCAGCCGCGGUAAUACGUAGGUGGCAAGCGUUGUCCGGAUUUAUUGGGCGUAAAGCGAGCGCAGGCGGUUCUUUAAGUCUGAUGUGAAAGCCCACGGCUUAACCGUGGACGGUCAUUGGAAACUGGGGAACUUGAAUACAGAAGAGGAGAGUGGAAUUCCAUGUGUAGCGGUGAAAUGCGUAGAUAUAUGGAGGAACACCAGUGGCGAAGGCGACUUUCUGGUCUGUUAUUGACGCUGAGGCUCGAAAGCGUGGGGAGCAAACAGGAUUAGAUACCCUGGUAGUCCACGCCGUAAACGAUGAGUACUAAGUGU